UAGGGAAUCUUCGGCAAUGGGGGGAACCCUGACCGAGCAACGCCGCGUGAGUGAAGAAGGUUUUCGGAUCGUAAAGCUCUGUUGUUAAGGAAGAACGAGUGUGAGAAUGGAAAGUUCAUGCUGUGACGGUACUUAACCAGAAAGGGACGGCUAACUACGUGCCAGCAGCCGCGGUAAUACGUAGGUCCCGAGCGUUGUCCGGAUUUAUUGGGCGUAAAGCGAGCGCAGGCGGUUAGAAAAGUCUGAUGUGAAAGCCCCCGGCUCAACCGGGGAGGGUCAUUGGAAACUGGUUGACUUGAGUGCAGAAGAGGAGAGUGGAAUUCCAUGUGUAGCGGUGAAAUGCGUAGAUAUAUGGAGGAACACCGGUGGCGAAAGCGGCUCUCUGGUCUGUAACUGACGCUGAGGCUCGAAAGCGUGGGGAGCGAACAGG
rnacentral:rRNA from 1 species